CCCUUCUCAGGAUUGCACCUGGAGAAUUUCCAGUACUCUACCAGUCUGGACUAUGGGAGGGAGAGUCAAGCAGAGGCCUGUCCAUUCCAUUCCUAGUUUUGGCAGUGACUAGCGAGUGGAAGGCCAUCUGCUACAAGU
rfam:Ornithorhynchus anatinus chromosome 5, whole genome shotgun sequence.